rnacentral:rRNA from 1 species
GGCUUUAGACCCGAAACCGAGUGAUCUAGCCAUGUGCAGGAUGAAGGUGGGGUAACACCCACUGGAGGUCCGAACCAGUGCCCGUUGAAAAGGUCUUGGAUGACGUGUGGCUAGGGGUGAAAGGCCAAUCAAACUCGGAAAUAGCUGGUUCUCCGCGAAAGCUAUUUAGGUAGCGCCUCGCGUGUAUGUCCCAGGGGGUAGAGCACUGGAUGGGCUAGGGGGACCAAAAUCUUACUGAACUCAACCAAACUCCGAAUGCCGGUAUUUCUAGCGCGGCAGUGAGACUGUGGGGGAUAAGCUUCAUAGUCGAGAGGGAAACAGCCCAGAACACCAGCUAAGGCCCCUAAGCGAUUGCUAAGUGGAAAAGGAUGUGAAGUUGCGGAGACAACCAGGAGGUUGGCUUGGAAUCAGCCACCCUUGAAAGAGUG